ensembl:lncRNA
CUCUCAUCUACCCAGCCUGCUACUAGCAACCUCCAGCUCUCAUCUACCCAGCCUGCUACUAGCAACCUCCAGCUCUCAUCUACCCAGCCUGCUACUAGCAACCUCCAGCUCUCAUCUACCCAGCCUGCUACUAGCAUACUCCAGCUCACAUCUACCCAGCCUUCUAGCAUACUCCAGCUCACAUCUACCCAGCCUGCUAGCAUACUCCAGCUCUCAUCUACCCAGCCUGCUACUAGCAACCAGCUUGCUACUAGCAACCUUCAGCUCACAUCUACCCAGCCUGCUACUAGCAACCUCCAGCUCACAUCUUCCCAGCCUGCCAGCACUCCAGCGGUCUUAAGUCAGAGAUGCACAUACAUCCAGCCCGCUAGCAACCACCAUAUCACAUACACCCAGCCAGCUAGCAACCACAAGGAAAAGAGACAGAAGCAUGCAGAAGCCGUAGUGAAAGUGUCCUGUCAGAUGGUGACAAAAGUCCCCCGUGGUAUUGACCACUCGGAUAGCGACAAAGGAGUCCCCCUCUGAAACAGGGCCUAAGAAAGAACUAGAAGGCGAGGAACCACAUGCUGACGCUGCAGAGAAAGUGCCUCCUCAGGUGACUGCAAUGGACUCUGCGGUCCCCUCUGAAUAAAAUCUGAUAAAAAUGUUGUAUCCAGGUGUCUUCAUGAGGAUUCUAAUCGGAUGUCUAAAGAGGCAUCAGUACAAGAUGAAGGGGAAGCAUCUUGCAAAGAGGAGGAAAAAGGCUUGCCAGUACAAAGGGAAGACACCACUUGUACACACUAAGGAGAAAGUGCCUCCUCUAGAGGCUGCACAGGACUCUGGGGACCCCUCUGAGCCAAAGCCCAAGAAAAAAGAGAAAAAAAACACUAGAGGAAAAAGGAGAUAUAUUCAUAACGGUACACAGAACCUAUUUGACAAGGGGGAAACUGUCAAAGGCGAAAGCGGAUGCUAAAUGCACUGAGGCCAAUUCUGAACCAGCACCCAAGAUGGAAGGGGAGGGAGAAAUGACAAGAAGGGAAGGAACUGCUUGCAGAUACAAUAGAGAAAGUAGUUGAUUACAAAUGACUCUUGGCUUCCCUCUGAACCAGGGCCCAACAAAAAACCAGAAAGAGGAAGAAACCGUUAGAGGAGAAACUGUUUGCAGAUCAUAUGGAGAAAGUGUCUGCAAAGAGCCCUCAGGCCCUCUUGGAACCAAAGGCCGAGAAGGAGAGGACGACGCAAUUAAAGAUGGCGAGAAGUUAUUUUCAGUGUAAUUUAUUGGUAUUGUGUGUAUGUGGUAGGACCUAGGCCGCUCAUAUAUGCUAAGUACCUUUAGCGUCUACUGACGAUAGUAUCUUCUGGCCGGGGGAGUUUUAUUAAGACCCCAGACACUUGCACUAAAUGUUAACAUGCAUCAUUUCACACAUCGUUUGCGGUACGAUUUUGGAAACAUAAACGCCUGUUUAUUGGGUUAGGGUUCCCACACGGCCAUAUUUCCAUGUUCCAGUGCUGGUUUACGGAAAAUGUACAGAGACAGUUGACUACCUGUGCUAAUUAGCGAUCUGCGUCUCCAAAAACCUGUAUAGAAACGGAAGAUGGACACCACAAACUCAUCAACGAAAAAUACUGUCGGCUGCAACUGUUAAAACCAGUUUUAUAAACUGUGGUUUGAGGCCUGAUUUCUGAUUGGCUGAAAGCCAUGGUAUAUCAGACCGUAUACCACAGGUAUGACUAACCAUUUAGUUUUACGGCUCUAAUUACGUUGGUAACCAGUUUAUAAUAUCAAUAAGGCUCCUCUGGGGUUUGGGAUUAUGACCAAUACCACUGCCAAGGGCUGUGUCCAGGCACUCUGUGUUGCAUCGUACAUAAGAAAAGACCUUAGCCGUGGAAUAUUGACCAUAUACCACUCUUCCUCUGGCCUUAUUGCUUUUAUAACACUGGAGUAAAUGUAUAUUUUGCAUAUGAAAGUAGAUGGCUUUAUGUUUCUAGAACGUUACCUCAAUUUAGAUGGAGUAUUUGGCUGCCAGAGACAAUUCGCCUGUUAAUAAACCAAAUAAGGGUGUGGAGUUUACUUGGUCUGGUCAGGAAAAACUCCUGGCCCUGGACAUUAGUACAUGUGUAUCAAUGCGAUGAAAAGACUAGCUGCGGAAUUAUGUUUGUAAGUUGUCAUGCCAUGCCUGUCAUAGCUAAAAGAACUGCCAAUGUUUCAUUCCUCAGUUUGGUCAGCCCACCGAUUUCUAUGGAUCAUCUUUCACUUUGUAAAUAUGUAAUUGAAUAAAAUAUUCUGUCUAAUAUUGUAA